rnacentral:rRNA from 1 species
GAUGAACGCUGGCGGCGUGCCUAAUACAUGCAAGUCGAGCGAACGGACGAGAAGCUUGCUUCUCUGAUGUUAGCGGCGGACGGGUGAGUAACACGUGGAUAACCUACCUAUAAGACUGGGAUAACUUCGGGAAACCGGAGCUAAUACCGGAUGAUAUUUUGAACCGCAUGGUUCAAAAGUGAAAGACGGUCUUGCUGUCACUUAUAGAUGGAUCCGCGCUGCAUUAGCUAGUUGGUAAGGUAACGGCUUACCAAGGCAACGAUGCAUAGCCGACCUGAGAGGGGUGACGGCCACAACGGAACUGAGACCCGGUCCAGACUCCUACGGGAGGCAGCAGUAGGGAAUCUUCCGCAAAGGGCGAAAGCCUGACGGAGCAACGCCGCGUGAGUGAUGAAGGUCUUCGGAUCGUAAAACUCUGUUAUUAGGGAAGAACAUAUGUGUAAGUAACUGUGCACAUCUUGACGGUACCUAAUCAGAAAGCCACGGCUAACUACGUG